rnacentral:rRNA from 1 species
UACGGGGGGGGCAAGCGUUGUUCGAAAUUACUGGGCGUAAAGGGCUCGUAGGCGGCCAACUAAGUCAGACGUGAAAUCCCUCGGCUUAACCGGGGAACUGCAUCUGAUACUGGAUGGCUUGAGUUCGGGAGAGGGAUGCGGAAUUCCAGGUGUAGCGGUGAAAUGCGCAGAUAUCAGGAGGAACACCGAUGGCGAAGGCAGGUCUCUGGGCUGACACUGACGCUCAUGCACGAAAGCGUGGGGAGCAAACAGG